UACGUAGGGUGCAAGCGUUGUCCGGAAUUAUUGGGCGUAAAGAGCUCGUAGGCGGUCUGUCGCGUCGGAUGUGAAAAUCCAGGGCUUAACCCUGGGCCUGCAUUCGAUACGGGCAGACUAGAGUUCGGUAGGGGAGACUGGAAUUCCUGGUGUAGCGGUGAAAUGCGCAGAUAUCAGGAGGAACACCGGUGGCGAAGGCGGGUCUCUAGGCCGAUACUGACGCUGAGGAGCGAAAGCGUGGGGAGCGAACAGG
rnacentral:rRNA from 1 species